rnacentral:rRNA from 1 species
UACAGAGGUCUCAAGCGUUAUUCGGAUUCAUUGGGCGUAAAGGGUGCGUAGGCGGCGCGGUAAGUCGGGUGUGAAAUCUUGGAGCUUAACUCCGAAACUGCAUUCGAUACUGCCGUGCUUGAGGACUGGAGAGGAGACUGGAAUUUACGGUGUAGCGGUGAAAUGCGUAGAUAUCGUAAGGAAGACCAGUGGCGAAGGCGGGUCUCUGGACAUUUCCUGACGCUGAGGCACGAAAGCCAGGGGAGCAAACGGG